rnacentral:rRNA from 1 species
AACGAACGCUGGCGGCAUGCCUAACACAUGCAAGUCGAACGAGACCUCCGGGUCUAGUGGCGCACGGGUGCGUAACGCGUGGGAACCUGCCCUUAGGUUCGGAAUAACUCCCCGAAAGGGGUGCUAAUACCGGAUAAUGUCUUCGGACCAAAGAUUUAUCGCCUUUGGAUGGGCCCGCGUUGGAUUAGCUAGUUGGUAGGGUAAAAGCCUACCAAGGCGACGAUCCAUAGCUGGUCUGAGAGGAUGAUCAGCCACACUGGGACUGAGACACGGCCCAGACUCCUACGGGAGGCAGCAGUGGGGAAUAUUGGACAAUGGGCGAAAGCCUGAUCCAGCAAUGCCGCGUGAGUGAUGAAGGCCUUAGGGUUGUAAAGCUCUUUUACCCGAGAUGAUAAUGACAGUACCGGGAGAAUAAGCUCCGGCUAACUCCGUG